CGCGACCCGCCCCCCGGAAAGCCGGGGAUAACCACGUGCCAACGGCCGCGGAAAUACGUAGGUGGGAAGCGUUGUCCGGAUUUAUUGGGCGUAAAGCGAGCGCAGGUGGUUCUUUAAAUCUGAUGUGAAAGCCCCCGGCUCAACUGGGGAAGGUCAUUGGAAACUGGAAAACUUGAGUGCACAACAGGAGAGUGCAAUUCCAUGUGUAGCGGUGAAAUGCGUAGAUAUCUGGAGGAACACCAUUGGUUACAUUAAGCACUCCGCCUGGGGAGUACGACCGCAAGGCUGAAACUCUAAGGAAUUGAUGGGGACCCCCACAAGCGGUGGAGC
rnacentral:rRNA from 1 species